AGAAUUAAUAAGAGAUUUAAUUGGCCGCUCGACCAUUUGCAAACUUGUGAUUUUCCUUACCAGUCAGCCACGAAGAAACGAAAGCACAAAGUAGCUUAGGAACAGAAUGAGAUCUAUUGAAAUUUAUUUGAGGCAAGAUCUGACUUGGUACAGGUGGCUUUGAAAAGUAUUCAACGGAAGCGAAUCAGAUAUGUGGUGAAAAAAAUCAUAAUUCAUUUAAUGAUUAGUGGUACCAAACCGCGACAAUAUCACAUCACUCUCUGCAACAGUACAUCGAUUAUGUCUCUCGCCGCGUGUUUAUAUACCCGUUUAUUAUACGAAAAUACGUUAGAUUAAUAAGAAUACUUGAUUUAUUUCCCUGUCUUUUCUCAGUUGUGUAGGUAUAAUAUAAUCUUCGCAAUAGGGCAGAGUAUGAUAUAAAUAUAGUGGAGUUGAUCAGGCUGAUAUGUACAUGUGACGAUUAUGAGUUCCAAGCCCCAACUGGCAUCCAACAUAUCGGAAGACGCCCGCAUUCAGUGGCAAGAGGUA